rfam:Leclercia adecarboxylata strain I1 Leclercia_S84_R1__paired__contig_47, whole genome shotgun sequence.
CCGGCAGAAUUGCUGGCUCCCUGGACAGGCGAUAUUGCCGCUGAAGGGAUCAGUAAAGUACUGCGCGGCGGCGCCUCGUUGCUGAAGAAAGGGUUUCAGCGCCAGCAGCGCUACGCCGGAGAAGUGCUUACCGAGGAGUGGCGCAUGGCGCCGGGCCCGCUGGAAGCAGCAUGGUUCGCAGAAGAGACCGCAGCCGUUGAGUGUUCGGUCGAUGCACUGACAAAACGGCUUGAAAAACUGGAGGGCAAAUGA